CAUUUCUUGCCUCGUAUCUUAAUUCCCUUUGAAACUUACAUGUUGUACAUAGAUUUGUUACUUAUUUUAAUCUGUGUGAAGGGUUAAUUUUAUAAUGGUGUUCCUGAGAACCACAUUGCAAGCUGCUUUGAUAGCUUUGUUAACAUCCAAGCCCUUGGUUUUACUUUUUAGAAUUUUUGUCAUUUUUAGUUACGUAAAAGAUUAUUUUAUGAUGAUUGUGGUUAAUACUUAUCUAAUAGGGAAUUGUUUGCCGUAGAGGAGCCGUUAUAGAUAGGACCCAAGCGUGGGCUACGCAAAAUUUGGUUUUGAAGGAUUUUUUAGAUUAUACUUGUUGGCUUUCUCAGGGCUGUGUAACAUGGGCUAGAUCAGAGACUCAGGAAUCCCCAAACCUGCUCCUAUUAAUCCUCCCCUGUCUCCAGAAGAGCUGACAAGGUGAGAGCUUUGUCAGGAAUCUGUAUGCUUUCUGCUAUGUUAAUAUUGUCUAUCAAUACUGUAUUAUAUAGGGGUUCCAAGAAGAAAUUCUAAAAUUUCCAAUAAGAAAUUCUGGAUUGGAUAAUUUUCAGAAUUUUAAAAUACUGUUGUUUUCCUGAAUAAAGUUGGAUUUUUAGUAAACUGGUAAUUUUUCAGUAACUAGACUUCCUUGGAGUAAUCAACUGAAUCAAUUUCUAUAUUAUUCUGUUACAGAUACCUGUGAUACCUAAAUUCUCACUUGUAGGAUCUAAUCUAAAGGGCUCAGGCCCUUUAGAGAGACUCUGCAACCAUAAAAAUGGGUUAGGUGCCAAGUAGAUCACAAAAUGGGGUGAUCAUUCCAAGUCAGUAUUUGCAAAUAGCAAGGGAAUCAUAAAGAUCAUUCUCACCCCCUCAUUUGCUUUUGCUUUGGUGUAAGGCUGUAGGGAUUGGGGUGUGUUGGUAAAUGACAGCCCCUGUCCCCAGGUUCCUUACUGUCCAGAGCAUUGUAAAUAAUUCAUAAGACUUGAUGCUUUGUCUUGAUAUUUUCUCUCCUUUCCUCCCACCCCAUCUUUCUCCUCCUUUUACUCUCUUUGUUGCGGUGAUGAGUUCCUUCCAGAGGAAAAACAAGAAAUCCAGAAAAGGCCAGGAUCACCAGACACCUGAAAAAUAAUCAGGUACACCUAGAGAACAAGGAAAGAGAGCCUUUUUUCCGAAAAAAGGAAAUCCAGACAACCAACACUGCAGAGAACAGAGCCUGAGCCCCAAAGCAACCUGCCAAGAGAACCAGAGGGACCAAAUGAAGAGCCUUACUGCAGUUUAUCAUUUGAAAAGCUUUAUAGGACAAGGGAGGUGAGCCUGGCAUUUGCUAGGAACCAGAGUGGACCCGGCAAAGUGGCCAGCAUCAGAGUCCUGAUCCAAAUGGAGAAAGGGAACCAGGCGUACCUCAACCUGGAGUGGGAAACUUGAUAGGAG